rnacentral:rRNA from 1 species
AGUCACUGACAUUAGAUACCCCCUGUAGUCCAGGGUGUAAACGCUGCAGACUUGGUGUUGGAGGCCCUUUGGGGGCAUUCAGUGCUGGAGAGAAGUUGUUAAGUCUGCUACUUGGGAGUACGUCCGCAAGGAUGAAACUUAAAGGAAUUGGCGGGGGAGCACCGCAACGGGAGGAGCGUGCGGUUUAAUUGGAUUCAACACCGUAAAACUCACCAGGGAAGACUGUUACAUGAAGGCCGAGAUGAAGACUCUGCUAGAUUUUCAG